rnacentral:rRNA from 1 species
ACUGGGGUGAAGUCGUAACAAGGUAGCCGUACGGAAGGUGUGGCUGGAUCACCUCCUUA